rnacentral:misc_RNA from 1 species
GAUGAAGAACGCAGCGAAAUGCGAUACGUAAUGUGAAUUGCAGAUUUCAGUGAAUCAUCGAAUCUUUGAACGCACAUUGCGCCCGCAAGUAUUCUGGCGGGCAUGCCUGUUCGAGCGUCAUUUCAACCAUCAAGCCCCCGGCUUGCGUUGGAGCCCUGCGGCUGCCGCAGGCUCCCAAAUCCAGUGGCGGGCUCGUCGUCGUACCGAGUGCAGUAAACAUCCUCGCUCAGGGAACGUGACGGGUUCUUGCCGUGAAACCCCCCACAUAUCAAGGUUGACCUCGGAUCAGGUAGGAAUACCCGCUGAACUUAAGCAUAUCAAUAAGCGGAGGA